rnacentral:lncRNA from 13 species
GUUGAUUCGUUCAAAGAAAAUGAAAUGUACUGCUGAGUGUUCUGUGUCCCGGGUACAAAUCUGGAAAGGCGGAGAGUGGCUGUUUCCGAGUACAAACAGCUCUCACCCAGCCGCUGCUGUGCCCGCUGUAGGCAGGCCGCUGCAGACGGAGAAACUAAGGGGCAGAGAGAUGAAGUGA